AGCGUCGCUACUAGUGGGAGGACCGGGUAGUACAGCGCCGCCAGUGGUGGGAGGACCGGCGUACAGCGCCGCCAAUGGUGGGAGGACCGGGUACAGCGCCGCCGCCGGUGGGAGGACCGAUUACAGAGCAACAAGGUAGAGCUGGGUCUGAUGUUCCGAACCAAAUGUUGUGCAGAAGGCUUAGGAUCAUUAAUUGAGGCCAUUUGAUCCAUGGCUGCUUCAGCAGGAUGCCAUGGAAUUCCUUGUUCACAUGAUGGUCAACCAAGGAACGCAGAGGGUCGACCAGCCCAGACGCGGGGUUCGAUUGCCCGGCGCGGGGGAGCUGACAUCCCCCUGAUGCGGGGGGCCAGCGCCGGCUACAGGAGUCAAGAUCAUCCCCUCAACAGAGGGCUCGGCCCCCAACAAAGAAGGGAUUUGAACUUUUUUUCACCUUCCAUCACAGUGCGGAAUGUGGAGGAGUCACUGUGGUGGAUGUUUAUGUUAAAAUGUUUAUGUUUUGUUGACUUUUAUUUGUAUGACUGACUUGGCAAAUGAAAUUCCUCGUAUGUUGCAAAACGUACUUGCCUAAUAAAGUAUUAUUGUGUUUGA